rnacentral:rRNA from 1 species
GAUGAACGCUGGCGGCGUGCCUAAUACAUGCAAGUCGAGCGAACCACUUCGGUGGUGAGCGGCGAACGGGUGAGUAACACGUAGGUUAUCUGCCCAUCAGACGGGGACAACGAUUGGAAACGAUCGCUAAUACCGGAUAGGACGAAAGUUUAAAGGUGCUUCGGCACCACUGAUGGAUGAGCCUGCGGCGCAUUAGCUAGUUGGUAGGGUAAAGGCCUACCAAGGCGACGAUGCGUAGCCGACCUGAGAGGGUGAACGGCCACACUGGGACUGAGACACGGCCCAGACUCCUACGGGAGGCGGCAGUAGGGAAUCUUCGGCAAUGGGCGAAAGCCUGACCGAGCAACGCCGCGUGAAAGAUGAAGGCCUCGGUUGG